rnacentral:rRNA from 1 species
GCCUACGGGGGGUAGCAGUAGGGAAUUUUCGUCAAUGGGCGCAAGCCUGAACGAGCAAUGCCGCGUGAACGAGGAAGGUCUUCGGAUCGUAAAGUUCUGUUGAAGGGGAAAAAGAGCGGAGAGAGGAAAUGGUCUCCGAUUGAUAUUACCCUUCGAGGAAGUCACGGCUAACUACGUGCCAGCAGCCGCGGUAAUACGUAGGUGGCGAGCGUUAUCCGGAAUGAUUGGGCGUAAAGGGUGCGUAGGCGGCCUGCUAAGUCUGGAGUGAAAGGUACCGGCUCAACCGGUACAGGCUCUGGAAACUG